rnacentral:tRNA from 1 species
GUCCCUGUAGUAUAUUACACAUUACUCUGGUCUUGUAAACCAAAAAAGGGGGAAACACUCCCCCCAAGGACU